rnacentral:rRNA from 1 species
GCUUGUCUCAAAGAUUAAGCCAUGCAUGUCUAAGUAUAAACAAAUCUAUACGUGAAACUGCGAAUGGCUCAUUAUAUCAGUUAUAGUUUAUUUGAUGGUUCUUGCUACUUGGAUAACCGUAGUAAUUCUAGAGCUAAUACAUGCGUCAAACCUCGACUUCUGGGAGAGGUGUAUUUAUUAGAUGGAAACCAAUGCGGGGCAACCCGGUAUAUGGUGAUUCAUAAUAACUUUCGGAUCGAUCUUCGGAUCGAUGCAUCAUUCAAGUUUCUGCCCUAUCAACUGUCGACUGUGAUAUAGACGCUCACAGUGGUUUUGACGGGUAACGGGGAAUCAGGGUUCGAUUCCGGAGAGGGAGCCUUAAAAACGGCUACCACAUCCAAGGAAGGCAGCAGG